ensembl:lncRNA
AUCACCGCAGCUAUUCACCGCAUGUUAGUGGACAAAUCAAAACCCAACGGUCAUUUACCCGUUGUGACUCACAGGAUGUUCCAAAUUCCAUUUUAGAAGAGACUGACUUUAUGACCAAAAGUAUCCUAUUUACACUAUGUAGUCAAUUUUGACACUAGAAUAACUGCUUCUGACUAAUAUGGAUGCCACAUAGACAUUGUUCAAAAUGAUUAUAGUUUCUUUUUAAAGGCAGUCUCUUUAAGGGCACAAAUGGGUACAAGUCUCACUGAAUAGGCCUAGUAGCUUUUUAUGUGGUUCAGGGUGGAUUAAACUGAUUGCCCCCACAUGAUAUAAUUCUAGCUACUUUUUCUGAGUAGUCCAUGUAGUGUGGAUUUGGGAAAACUUUACUAACAUCAGACUGAUUUAGACAUCUGCCUUUUGUGUCCACACUGUGGCCUAGGACAUACGUUGCCUUCAGAAAGUAUUCAUACCCCAUGAUUUAUUCCACAUUUUGUUGUGUAACAGCCUGAAUUAAAUAUAUUAAGUAUGUAUUUUUCUCCCCCCAUCUACACACUAUGCCACAUUAUCACAAAGUGAAACUAUGAUUUUUAGAAAUGUUUGCUAAUUUAUUGAAAAUGAAAUACUGAAAUAUCUCAUUUAUAUAAGUAUUCACACCCCUGAGUCAAUACUUUGUAUAAGCACCUUUGGCAGCGAUUAGAGCUGUGAGUCUUUCUUGGUAAGUCUCCAAGAGCUUUCUACACCUGGAUUGAGCAACAUUUUCCCAUUAUUCUUUUCAAAAUUCUUCAAGCUCUGUCAAAUUGGUUAUUGAUCAUUGCUAGACAACCAUUUUCAGGUCCUGCCAUGUAUUUUCAAUUCGAUUUACGUCAAAACUGUAACUCAUCCACUCAGGAACAUUCACUUUCUUCUUGGUAAGCAACUCAAGUGUAGAUUUGGCCUUGUGGUUUAGGUUAUUGUCCUGCUGAAAGGUGAAUUCAUCUCCCAGUGUCUGGUGGAAAGCAAAAUUAACCAUAUUUUCCUCGGGGAAAAUUGCCUGUGCUUAGCUCCAUUCUGUUUAUUUAUUAUCCUGUAUAACUCCCCAGUCCUUAACGAUUACAAGCAUAGCCAUAACAUAACAUGAUGCAGCCACCACUAUGCUUGAAAAUAUGGUGAGUGGUACUCAGGGAUGUGUUGAAUUGGAUUUGCCCAAACAUAACACUUUGUAUUCAGGACAAAAAGUGAAUUGCUUUGCCACAUUUUUUGUAGUAUUACUUUAGAGCCUUGUUGAAAACAGGAUGCAUGUUUUGGAAUAUUUGUAUUCUGUACAGGCUUCCUUCUUUUCACAAAGUCAAUUAGUUUAGUAUGGUGGAGUAACUACAAUGUUGUUGAUCCAUGUUCAGUUUUCCCCUAUCACAGCCAUUAAAGUCUAACUGUUUUAAAGUCACCAUUGGCCUCAUGGUGAAAUCCUUGAGCGGUUUCCUUCCUCUCCGGCAACUGGGUUAGGAAGGACGCCUGUAUCUUUGUAGUGACUGGGUGUAUUUAUACACUAUAGAAAGUGUAAUGAAUAACUUCCCAAGUGAGCCAGACUAAAAAUAUAAUAAAAGCAACAAUACAGCACACAACAGUAGCUUUAAAUAAAUGUCAUCUCAUCUCCUACAUGGAGUUGGUUUUGAACACCUGUGCCUUUCUUUUUUGGGGGGAGGGGGUAAGAUUUUAUCAAAUGUUUUGAAACAAUACAAACAUCAACUACAUCACACCUGCCCAGACCAACAUGUUCACACCCUCAGCAUCACUCUCCAGCAACAUGGCCUCCAACUGCACUAUUUUGCUUCUUGCCAUCGACAUAACUCUGCCAUUAUGCUGUUGAAUUUGUCAAAUUUGUCUCUUGUAUAAUUCAUUCUAUACAUUAGUUAACACUGGAUUAAGUGUACAUUUUCAUUUACUGUAAUUUCAUUAGCUAUGUUCCAACAUUCCCUCCAUCUUGUGCCAACAUCAGUUCCUUUUAAGUCUUGGUUCCAAUAGUUUAUAUUUUUUUCUAAGAGAUUGUCAGUUGGAUAGGCUCUCUGCAAGAUUUUAUAUAGCUUACCUAUCAUAUGAAUAUCCUUGUCUGACUCAAAUAGGAUUCCC